rnacentral:rRNA from 1 species
GACGAACGCUGGCGGCGUGCCUAAUACAUGCAAGUAGAACGCACAGUUUAUACCGUAGCUUGCUACACCAUAGACUGUGAGUUGCGAACGGGUGAGUAACGCGUAGGUAACCUGCCUGGUAGCGGGGGAUAACUAUUGGAAACGAUAGCUAAUACCGCAUAAUAUUAAUUAUUGCAUGAUAAUUAAUUGAAAGGUGCAAUUGCACCACUACCAGAUGGCCCUGCGUUGUAUUAGCUAGUAGGUGAGGUAACGGCUCACCUAGGCGACGAUACAUAGCCGACCGGAGAGGGUGAUCGGCCACACUGGGACUGAGACACGGCCCAGACUCCUACGGGAGGCAGCAGGAGGGAAUCUUCGGCAAUGGACGAAAGUCUGACCGAGCAACGCCGCGUGAGUGAAGAAGGUUGUCGGAUCGUAAAGCUCUGUUGUAAGAGAAGAACGGGUGUGAGAGUGGAAAGUUCACACUGUGACGGUAUCUUACCAGAAAGGGACGGCUAACUACGUG